rnacentral:rRNA from 1 species
UACCUAGGUCUCAAGCGUUGUUCGGAUUCAUUGGGCGUAAAGGGUGCGUAGGUGGCGGGGCAAGUCAGGUGUGAAAUCUCGGGGCUCAACCCCGAAACUGCACUUGAUACUGCCUUGCUUGAGUACUGGAGAGGAGAUUGGAAUUUACGGUGUAGCAGUGAAAUGCGUAGAUAUCGUAAGGAAGACCAGUGGCGAAGGCGAAUCUCUGGACAGUUACUGACACUGAGGCACGAAGGCCAGGGGAGCAAACGGG